ACCCUCUCAGGGCUGUACCUGGAGAGUUUCCAAUACUCUACCAGUCUCGAGUACAAGAGGGAGAGUCAAGCAGAGGCAUACCCAUUCUAUUCCUAGCUUGGGCAGUGGCUAUAGAGUAGAAGGCCAUCUGCUACAAGU
rfam:Ornithorhynchus anatinus chromosome 2, whole genome shotgun sequence.